CUUGCUGCACCCCCAAGUUAGCGACAGGGGAAGAGAAACCCUGAAAGACAAUGAGAGAAACUACCACCUCAAGUCUAAUGAUGAAUCUGAGACUAGUCCAACGAAAAUGACUCCGUGUGGAUGAAGACUUUUUCUCAUCUGUUUGACCAAACAGUAGGCUGCCCCUAUCAACGGAUUUGGGCCUCCGCACAACCUACCAGAAUGCAGGGUACAACAUCAAAUGAAUUCCAAUUCUCUGAGAUCUGAGGCACCAACUUGUGUGGCUGCAUGCGCGGCAUAAUUUUGAUCACUCCUGACAAAAUCUCACUCCAAGGUUUUUUGAAAAGUUGGCAGGUAUGAUUUUUGGGUAAACUAGUCUUUCAUAAGGUAAAUAAAAUAAAAUAUAAAUGACAAAAAUGUAAACAUUGUUUUACUGAAGUAUGUGUGAAAUGCAUUAGACAAACAGAGUUUCUUUGUGAAGUUACACUGAAGUGAAUUAAUGUAUUUGUUGUGUUUGUCUGUACAUUUGUGUGUAAAUGUUGGUCAGUUUCGUCUUCUGAGCUGUUUGGUGUGUUUAGAUCUGAGCUAAAUGAAAGUGGUUUAUUCUGCUCGCUGGUGCACGAGAUAAAGUCUGAGGGUGUCUUUUAGGAAGUGUUCUGCACUUGCAUUCUUUGUUUGUGUGAGUGGGAAUGUGGUUUCAUCGCAUGUCCAGAUAUCAACUUCAUACCGAGACCAAACAUGUGUGAAAGAUGCCAUUGAAUGUUCAGCAGGAUGAUUUUCACUCUUCCAUUUGCUUUGAUCUUGUUUGUGUUGUGUUGUAAGUGAAAAUAGAAACUCUUUUAAUAAUUAUUGUAAUAUUAUGUCGGACUGAAUUUAUUUUAGUUAUUUAUAUGUUGUUUCAGGUGUGUUUGGUGUUGAUUCAGAUGAAGUGAUGUCAGCGUCAGUGAUGUAGGGAGAUUCUGUCACUCUACACACUGAUGUUACACACAUUCAGAUACAUGAUCGCAUACUGUGGAUGUUUUGAAUUUCACUACAAUCUUAUAGCUGAAAUCCAUGUACAGAAUGUUAAUCACAGACUCUGUUGUUUAUACACUAGUGACCAUCAGUGACAGAAGAUCUUCAUACAAGAGAUUCAAAUUUACUGUCUAUGUCAUUCAGGAAGUAACUUCAGAUCAUGAUGUGUUACCACUGCCAGUUAUGAUCUUUUUAAUGUGACCUGUGAUGUGCUGUCUGUGUUUCUGCUUUCUGUGCUGAGAAAAUCAUAUCAGCAUAUGGACAGAAGAAUGAGAUAGGUGACGUACAACAUAAAACAUGACACAAUGAACACAAGAUUAAACUCCAGAGAGCUGCAGACACAGCGUUUAUUUUGCAUAUUUGUAAACAGCACCGAAUAUACAGUAUAUGCGGUUAAAUAACCCAAUGCUUAAUAAAGCGUGUUUAAAGAUCUGA